CCGGCGACCGGCGCACGGGUGAGUAACACGUAUGCAACCUGCCCUCCGCAGGGGGAUAACCCGGAGAAAUCCGGACUAAUACCGCGUGGUACACCAGUGGGGCAUCCCACUGGUGUUAAAAGGAGGUGAUUCCGGCGGAGGAUGGGCAUGCGGCGCAUUAGCUUGUUGGCGGGGUAACGGCCCACCAAGGCGACGAUGCGUAGGGGUUCUGAGAGGAAGGUCCCCCACACUGGUACUGAGACACGGACCAGACUCCUACGGGAGGCAGCAG
rnacentral:rRNA from 1 species